rnacentral:rRNA from 1 species
UACGUAGGCAGCGAGCGUUGUUCGGAAUUACUGGGCGUAAAGAGUGUGUAGGCGGUGCUCUAAGUUCGGUGUGAAAUCUCCCGCUUAACUGGGAGGGUGCGCCGGAAACUGGAGUGCUCGAGCGUGGGAGAGGAAAGCGGAAUCCUGGUGUAGCGGUGAAAUGCGUAGAUAUCAGGAGGAACACCUGCGGUGUAGACGGCUUUCUGGACCAUUGCUGACGCUGAGACACGAAAGCGUGGGUAGCAAACAGG